GGCUAACGCUGGCGGCGUGUCUUAGCCAUGCAAGUCGAGCGGACUUAUGGGGGUAACUUAUAAGUCAGCGGCGGACGGCGGAGUAACACGUAGCUAACCUACCCUCUGGACGGGGAUAACCUACCGAAAGGUGGGCUAAUACCCGAUGUAGUCAUCCUGUAUAGGGGUGAUGAAAGGUGGGCUUCUGUUUACAAGCUCAUGCUGGAGGAGGGGGCUGCGGCCUAUCAGGUAGUUGGUAGGGUAAUAGCCUACCAAGCCGAUGACGGGUAGCCGGCCUGAGAGGGUGACCGGCCCGAGGGGCACUGAGAUACGGGUCCCACUCCUACGGGAGGCAGCAGGCUAGAAAUUUGGGCAAUGGGGGAAACCCUGACCCAGUGACGCCGCGUGCAGGAAGGAGCCCUUCGGGGUGUAAACUGCUGUCGUGUAGGGAGAAGGGUACUAAGGUGAACAAUCUUAGUACUUGACGGUACUACGAGGAGGAAGCCCAGGCUAACCUCGUGCCAGCAGCCGCGGUAAGAUAGCGUACU
rnacentral:rRNA from 1 species